rnacentral:lncRNA from 1 species
AAAAGUUUGAAAAUAAAAGUUUGAAAAUAAAAGUUUAAAAAUAAAAGUUUGAAAAUAAAAGUUUGAAAAUAAAAGUUUGAAAAUAAAAGUUUGAAAAUAAAAGUUUGAAAAUAAAAGUUUGAAAAUAAAAGUUUGAAAAUAAAAGUUUGAAAAUAAAAGUUUGAAGUUCGUUCGUAGUCAGGAAGAAAGCCCGCGAAUACCGCCUUCUACGGGAAACGACAAAACGCGGACCCCAGGUCCAUGGACUACCUUCGUGGACCUGGUCCAUGGACUACACUCGUGGACCACGGACCACUCCCGUGGACCACUCUCGUGGACCACUUGCGAAAUUUCGCCUACCGAACAAUAGACCAAGCACUAUUAUUCCGAGUUUAGAGAGCCGAGAUUGGCGGGAACUAUUUCAUUAUUCAUUUCCAUUAUUUAUUUCACAAUCAAUUCAGCUUUUGUUGAUGAACAGUGAAUACUAAGUCUGUAAAAAUGCUUAAAAAAUGUAGUCAGGGUUCCAUUAAAAAAUAUAGGAAUACUGUGGAGAAUCUGGAGGGG